UUCCGGUUGAUCCUGCCGGACCUGACUGCUAUCGGAUUGAUACUAAGCCAUGCGAGUCUUUGUAGUAAUACAAGGCAUACGGCUCAGUAACGCGUAGUCAACCUACCCUAUGGACAAGAAUAAUCUCGGGAAACUGAGCAUAAUUCUUGAUAGAUCAUAAUGCCUGGAAUGGUUUAUGGUUAAAAUGAUUCGUCGCCAUAGGAUGGGACUGCGGCCUAUCAGCUUGUUGGUGAGGUAAUGGCCCACCAAGGCGAUAACAGGUACGGGCUCUGAGAGGAGAAGCCCGGAGAUGGGUACUGAGACAAGGACCCAGGCCCUAUGGGGCGCAGCAGGCGAGAAAACUUUGCAAUGUGCGAAAGCACGACAAGGUUAGUCCGAGUGAUUUCUGCUAAAGAGAUCUUUUGCUAGUCAUAAAACCACUAGUGAAUAAGGGGUGGGCAAGUUCUGGUGUCAGCCGCCGCGGUAAAACCAGCACCUCAAGUGGUCAGGAUGAUUAUUGGGCCUAAAGCAUCCGUAGCCGGCUCUGUAAGUUUUCGGUUAAAUCUAUGCGCUCAACGUAUGGGCUGCCGAAAAUACUGCAGAGAUAGGGAGUGGGAGAGGUAGACGGUACUCGGUAGGAAGGGGUAAAAUCCUUUGAUCUAUCGAUGACCACCUGUGGCGAAGGCGGUCUACCAGAACACGUUCGACGGUGAGGGAUGAAAGCUGGGGGAGCAAACCGGAUUAGAUACCCGGGUAGUCCCAGCUGUAAACGAUGCAGACUCGAUGAUGCAUUGGCAUAUAGCCAGUGCAGUGUCGCAGGGAAGCCGUUAAGUCUGCCGCCUGGGAAGUACGUACGCAAGUAUGAAACUUAAAGGAAUUGGCGGGGGAGCACCACAAGGGGUGAAGCCUGCGGUUCAAUUGGAUUCAACGCCGGG
rnacentral:rRNA from 1 species